AUUGAACGCUGGCGGCAGGCCUAACACAUGCAAGUCGAGCGGAGCGGCGGACGGGUGAGUAAUGCCUAGGAAUCUGCCUGGUAGUGGGGGAUAACGUCCGGAAACGGGCGCUAAUACCGCAUACUAUCAGAUGAGCCUAGGUCGGAUUAGCUAGUUGGUGGGGUAAAGGCCUGCCAAGGCGACGAUCCGUAACUGGUCUGAGAGGAGGAUCAGUCACACAGGAACUGAUACAAGGGCCAGACUCCUACGGGAGGCAGCAGUGGGGAAUAUUGGACAAUGGGCGGAAACCUGAUCCAGCCAUGCCGCGUGUGUUAAGAAGGACUUCGGAUGGUUAAGCAGUUUAAGUUGGGAGGCGUUACCAACAGAAUAAGCACCGGCGAACUUCGUGCCAGCAGCCGCGGUGAUAC
rnacentral:rRNA from 1 species